rnacentral:lncRNA from 1 species
AAUAAAAACAUUUAAAUCAUAUGGCAUCAUGGAAUGCAUCACAUCACAACUAAUCACAUCAAGGAUGAACUUGUCACCAAUAGCCCUCUACAUAGUCCAACUGUGCCAGAACGUAGAAUGGGUCCUGGUCUUUCUCUUACAUAACAUAGCAUAACAUAACAGUCCAACUGUGCCAGAACGUAGAAUGGGUCCUGGUCUUUCCCUUACAUGGUGCCAGCGAACGUAGAAUGGGUCCCACCGGUCUUACAUUCCGUACUGUACAUAUCACAUCGUCA